UACAGAGGUCUCAAGCGUUGUUCGGAUUCAUUGGGCGUAAAGGGUGCGUCGGCGGCGCGGUAAGUCGGGUGUGAAAUCUCGGAGCUUAACUCCGAAACUGCAUUCGAUACUGCCGUGCUUGAGGACUGGAGAGGAGACUGGAAUUUACGGUGUAGCGGUGAAAUGCGUAGAUAUCGUAAGGAAGACCAGUGGCGAAGGCGGGUCUCUGGGACGGUACUGACGCUGAGACGCGAAAGCGUGGGGAGCGAACAGG
rnacentral:rRNA from 1 species